GGAAGAAGUGAAAUCACUAUAUUUAGAAACGAAUGCUACCAUCCCACCCCAACUACAUGUUCAGGUUAAAUGCGUGCACAUCCUGGUAGCUGGAACAUCUGUUUCUAGCUUGUUGUUCCUCUUGGCUGCUUUUCAAUUGGAUUUCCUCGAGCAGGUCCCAGGCUUGUCACUGCAGCCAGGGUCUGUUAACCAUCACCACUGGUUCUACAUUAAGUAGGAGGUUCAGGGCUAAGCUAAUAACUCGCCUGCCUUUCUGACUGAUCACAGUGAUGUUCGCCGUGGCCACUUAUCAUGCGGGCUCCUUUGGGAGGGUGCUCUUCUUUGUCUGUACCUCUGGGUGGAAUUGGUUUUGU
rnacentral:lncRNA from 1 species